rnacentral:rRNA from 1 species
AGAGUUUGAUCAUGGCUCAGAAUCAACGCUGGCGGCGCGCUUAACACAUGCAAGUCGCACGAGAAAGGGAGCAAUCCCAAGUAAAGUGGCGCACGGGUGAGUAACACGUGGAUCAUCUACCUUUUAGUGGGGAAUACCCCCGGGAAACUGGGGACAAUACCGCAUAAGCUCGUAAGAGGAAAGCAGCAAUGCGCUGAAAGAGGAGUCCGCGGCUGAUUAGCUAGAUGGCGGGGUAACGGCCCACCAUGGCGAAGAUCGGUAGCCGGCCUGAGAGGGCACACGGCCACACUGGCACUGAAACACGGGCCAGACUCCUACGGGAGGCAGCAGUGGGGAAUCUUGCACAAUGGAGGAAACUCUGAUGCAGCGACGCCGCGUGAGCGAUGAAGCCCUUCGGGGUGUAAAGCUCUUUCGACGGGAACGAUAAUGACGGUACCCGAAGAAGAAGCUGCGGCUAACUACGUGCCAGCAGCCGCGGUAAUACGUAGGCAGCAAGCGUUGUUCGGAAUUACUGGGCGUAAAGAGUGUGUAGGUGGUGCUCUAAGUUUGGUGUGAAAUCUCCCGGCUUAACUGGGAGGGUGCGCCGAAAACUGGAGUGCUUGAGUAUGGGAGAGGUAAGCGGAAUUCCUGGUGUAGCGGUGAAAUGCGUAGAUAUCAGGAGGAACACCUGGUGUAGACAGCUUACUGGACCAUCACUGACACUGAGACACGAAAGCGUGGGUAGCAAACAGGAUUAGAUACCCCGGUAGUCC